rnacentral:rRNA from 1 species
CAGCAGCCACGGGAAUACGUAGGGUGCAAGCGUUAAUCGGAAUUACUGGGCGUAAAGCGUGCGCAGGCGGUUUGUUAAGACAGAUGUGAAAUCCCCGGGCUCAACCUGGGAACUGCAUUUGUGACUGGCAAGCUAGAGUCUGGCAGAGGGGGGUGGAAUUCCGCGUGUAGCAGUGAAAUGCGUAGAUAUGCGGAGGAACACCGAUGGCGAAGGCAGCCCCCUGGGCCAACACUGGCGCUCAUGCACGAAAGCGUGGGGAGCAAACAGGAUUAGAUACCCGCGUAGUCCCUGUCUCUUAUAC